UACGUAGGGUGCGAGCGUUGUCCGGAAUUAUUGGGCGUAAAGAGCUCGUAGGCGGUUUGUCGCGUCUGCUGUGAAAUCCCGAGGCUCAACCUCGGGCCUGCAGUGGGUACGGGCAGACUAGAGUGUGGUAGGGGAGACUGGAAUUCCCGGUGUAGCGGUGAAAUGCGCAGAUAUCGGGAGGAACACCAGUAGCGAAGGCGGCACUCUGGGCCGGUACUGACGCUGAGGAGCGAAAGCGUGGGGAGCAAACAGG
rnacentral:rRNA from 1 species